CCUUGUACACACCGCCCGUCACACCAUGGGAGUGGGUUCCACCAGAAGCCGGUCGCCUAACCGCAAGGGGGGGCGCCACCACGGUGAGAUUCAUGACUGGGGUG
rnacentral:rRNA from 1 species